rnacentral:sRNA from 1 species
CUCACUAUGUAGACUAAGCUGGCCUUGAACUUACAGAACUCACAGAGAUCUGCUAGUCUCUGUCUCUCAAGGGCUGAGAUUAGCCACCACACCGGGCUACCAGUAUUUAGAUGAAUGAAACACACGCACACACACACACACACACACACACACACACACACACACACACACACGGGGGGGGGAGAGAGAGAGAGAGAGAGAGAGAGAGAGAGAGCGUGCACAAAAAGGAAUCUAUGUUUUUUCAUGGAGAAUUCAAGAGGAUAAAAGGAAAAAGAUGUUUGUAUUCAUAAAGCCAAGCUUUACCAAUUAAAAGCUAACAAUAGGGAACUUACAAGGCUCUUGAUUAAUAGAUGUAAAGUAGCUGUUAAUGUCAGGAUAUCAAAUCGUAAAUUUGAAACAAAACUGGACAUUCAGAUUAUCCACCAAAACUUAGACUCCGUUUUAUGGCAUCCAGAACAAAAAUCACAGCUCUGACAACGGUUUUACACAGUGUACCUGCAAGUGGGGCUAACAGUUCCAGAGACAGCCAGAAGACACUGGUGGGUCGAAAGUCAUAAAUAUGGCUUGCUUUAUUUCAGGGCUGUUUUUCUUGUGAGCCGUAACUAGUAUCCAUUUUGAGAACAGAAAAAGUAUGUCCAGGAAAUACAAAUUAAGUGAAUAUUUAAGGAAGCCAGUCUGUCACCCCUUACUGCUAUGACAGUCAUAUCCAAGGUCCUUGGUACAAUGUAUUUUUUCUCCUCCCUCCUCCACCCCCUUCAUUUAAACUGUACCUAUACUUCUGGUUGGAAAAUCAACAUAGAAAAACAAAUAAUAAAGUAUGAUUGGUGUCAGAGGUGCUGUAUACAGAAGGGCUACUGUUUGUAGUCUCCAUCCAUUGUACCCAUGGGAGAUAAAAUGUCGGAGUCCAAAUAACUCCCCUUAAGUGUGUUUCUGGGUAGAGGUCCACCCACUCCUAUACAAUAGUUUAAACAAACUAACCAUGAAACGAAGAGACUUGACAGAGUCCAUUGUUGUUUUAAAGCUAACAGACUACCCUCCAUGCCCACCUCACACAGUGAAAACCAAUGUGAAGAAAAAUACCCACACUAACCUAAUUGGAGCAAAUACUCCAUUGUUUUCUCUCUGAAGGAGUGAGGUUGGUCCACAAUUCUGAUCCACUCACGCUUUUCCGGGAGUCCGAAAAUAAAAUGAUACAAGAGAUUUCUUGCUAGAGAACAAGUUUUCCAUUUCCAUAACAUAAGAGUCAAAAAAUAACAGUUUUAACAGAAUAAAUGUUGGUUUGAUGAUUAGUUCCAUAAAUGAGUGACUGGUGGAUCACAAGUCAGAGCAUUGAAAAACCAUUACUGAUUUUAUUACAGGCAACGUGAUUAUGAUGAGAGUAAAUCUUAAAUAUUGGGUUUAUAAACUUACCAAUUUCAUGUAUAGUUGUAACUUUUUACUAAAAAGGUAGAAUUAGAAGCACAAUGAACGAUUAGAUAAUCCAAGGUGUGUGGUGUGUAGCAAUUAUUAAUAGGUAUGGAAGUGUGACUAGAAUUUAAUCUGAUUAAUUACUUUUAGGUAAGAGCUUCCCAUAUUGCCUAGGCUGUAUUCGAAGUUGUAGAGUCAAGUAACCAAUCUGCUUCUGCACCCCAGGCAGCUACCAUGUUUGGUUCUGAUUUUUAAUCUAUAGAUCUGUAGAGAAAAGGCACACUAAAAUAGAAAAGGUUGUUCAAGCUUCUAUUAAACUCACUGCCUUCCAUACAUCACAGGAAUAGGAUUCUAUUCACUUUCUGCUAUUUGAGACAGGUACCACUGUGGACAGCUCGAAAUUUGGAAUCCUCCUGCCUCAGCUUCCCAGCAUCCCCCAACCCCUUCUAUGGCUCCAAGAAAAGAGCAGGUUGAAGUGGUCUGAAGGAAGGAAUGGGCACGGAAACACAGCUGCAACGAAAAUCGUCAUUCACUGAACUAAAAACAAGGGACCCGGUAUGGGCAAACAGGAGCAUUCAAGACCUAACACCUUCAUCAUCGGCUAAAGAGCACUGUGCUAGAAUUUGGGGCCACCACUCCAUUAGGAGGUCUACAAACUUUCGAAACAGGAGGAUCUUCUGAAACAAGAGGAUCUCGUGAGAAAACAGAUUUUUGUUUUCCUUGAAGGACACCAGAGCCUGAAGAAGCACCCGUUCAGCAGGGCCUCUCAGCAGUGGGAGUAGAUGUUGGUUUGCUCAGAACGAACGUCCAGAUCCCAUUUCCCAAAACAGUUUACAUGCUUCCUACCUCCGUGCCAUGUGCCUCCAAACCUCACCUCCAUCCCAAGUGCUUUCCCUCGUGCUUUUUUUUUUUCCUUCUUUUUAAUUCGAGUUCUCACAGCUAGUAUUAUUAUUUUUAGGGCUGCAAUCUCCCAUAGUCCUUAUUUUCACUCAAAAUUACAAUACAGGGGACUAUGGCCAAUGCUAUGCAGAUGGCCAAAUAGAUAAUAAAGACUCGGUUCAUGAAUAAUACCCACUCAGAAAGAGGACAAAAGCAACAGGAAAAAAGACCCAAAUUGGACAAAAUGUGCAUGCUAUAUUUAAAAAAAACCGCACACGCGAUCAUUGUCAGAGAUCAUUAAGGGUGCCCUGUAGUUUUAAUUAUGUGCCAGUGCACCAAUUUGAUGGGAGUGUUUGCUCCUAUAGUCAAUAAAAAAAGUCAUAACUGCCAUCAAAUUUAAAUUUAAUUUAUUUUCUACACAGCCCUUUCUGUUUUCCUUGUUUUUUUUCCUUUUAUAACAUUAACACUUUUUUUGUUGGAAAAUGUGUGAAAGAUUAAUUUGUGGAAUGAGGGAGCCGUGGGUGCACAGCAAAGGACAGAUGGAGUGGGUGGGACAGUUUUUGUCUGUGGCAUCAUUUUGUUGUCGCUAUUGCAAGGGGAAGAGAACUACUGCUACCACCAUCCUUUCUUUGGGGUGUGUGUGGGGUUGGUCGUGCCCAGAGAAGGUAUGCUGCUCUCACCUCAUGCUGGCCACUGUCAGCUCAGGGCACAGGCGCCUGCCCCCUACCCCGGGUAUUACCAAGUCAUGAUCACUUUCAUUUCUACAACUGAGAUUUACAUGGAAUCCCACCCUACUUUUGUAAAAGGCAGAGUGAGGCAGAGUUGUGAGAUGAGUAUGCUGAAAUAAAGUCACGAUUUACCUCCUC